UUUGUCAGUUAUCCAUGUUGGGAGGGAAGAGGGAGGAAUUAAAAAGACCUCAACCCAGCUUCUUUUGGUGCACUUGCAACUUUGCACGCACACAUCAUUUGCAUUCACUUAUUUUUUUUUACACUAUUCCUUGUGCAUAUAAAAAUUGAAUAUGCAUAUAGACUAGUGCUGGUUGGAAAAUUUUGACAAAAACAGAAAAAAUGUUUUUGUUAAAAUUUUCCACAGAAAAUUUUAACUUUUUGCCAAAAAAAUUGAAGUUUUCAGGUUUUGGACAGGAAGUUUUCAGUUCUGGGCUGAAAACCAUAAACUCCCUGGUUCUUCAGUUUUUCAACACAAGAUGACGUUUUCCAUGGAAAACAGGACCUUUCUGUGAGAAUUUCAUUU